rnacentral:lncRNA from 1 species
CCAUGUGGUUGUCUGUUGUUCUGCAAACAGCUGAUAUCUCUUGUGUCUCCUGAACAGUGUGGAAGCUGGCUGAAGGAGGAGACUAAAUAGCACCAGUAGCAGGACACCUAAUGGACCUGAAGAGGUCUUCGGCUUCUAUUCAGGACUCUUACAGCAAAAUACGGCACAGGUCUCAGAGGCAAGACAAGGGAAGUACACAGACACCUCAGCAGUGCUGCCUGGAAAGACGUCACAAAUGGACAUCAGCUGGGAUUGCUGGGAUUGGAUUGAGGACAACCCCACCCCCUUAACAAUGCUUCUCCUGACUCACCCCCAGCAUUCAAAGACAUUUAAUAACCAGCUGUCUCUGUCAGACCAACAGAGACAAGGAAAAGGACAGGAAGAGGAAAUGAAACUUGUUAAAUUAAAGGAGCAAUGAUGGAGAAAAAACAAAGUGCAGCUAUCUCGAUUUGUUCUCACCCAGCAUUCACCUUGGGAAGGUGGAGAGUGAUAUGCAUCUCAAGGUUGAAUUGAGAUCUUCAUCUGGGGCAGCCACAGAGAAAAUCAGAGGUCUUGGAAUUUGAUGUCCCUAGGGCUCCUCUUCACUGUAGAAGUUGGUCUGAUGUCCUCGUUUUUUGAUGGCCUUGAGACCUCUGUGGUGCACUGGUUAGGAUUUUUUAGGCUACUGCAAAGAUGGGAUUCCUGAAGAGGCUUUCUAAUGCUCUAAUGCUGUGGGUGAUUGAUGAAACAUCCUUGAAGUUAAGUGCAUUUUUAUCCCAUUGUGUCAAGGAUCAUAUUGUCAACAUGACUUACAACUACCUAGCCUUAACCUUGGUCAUUGGCUGAGCAGUAGGUGACAGUCUUCCCUACAACUAUGUCUUCCUCUCUCCAAUUUCCAUACCACAAAACUUGAGAAGAAGUCACUCUGCUUAUAUCAGGAUUUUGCUUCCUUUCUUUGGGGGAGUAGAGUAAUCUAUCCCCAUGCAUUAUUUGGAAUUGAGAAUUUUUUCAUCUGUGCUUAUCAAGAUUGGUCUGUGUCAGAGGUUUCUCCAAACGGAGGCCUAGAGUGGCCAUUGUGUGAAACUGUGAAGUUAAAGCUUGGCUUGUCCUGGAGACCCCAAGAUGUGGGAGAUGCCAGAGUCAUGGGAUAUCUGCCAAGGAGAGCUGCUAACAGGAAGUGGAACCAGCCCAAGAGAAAGAAGUGUGUUGCGGUCAACAAAGCUGAAUGGAGCUGGCGAUAUGAAGAAUGUUUUGACAUUACACACAGAGAUGCAAAGUUUGGAGUUUGCUCACCUGAUUUUCGUUCUUGCUUUGGUCCAGUAUUUCCUCACUAUGUUCCCUUCCAUAUGUUUUGGAAUGGUUAUGUAUAUCUUGUGCUAUUAAAUAUUGAAAUUAUGUGAUGUGCUUUUUUAGUUUUAAUAUUAUAUGUGAUUACAGUUAAGAAAUUGCAUGAAUCUCAAAGCAUUGGG